rnacentral:rRNA from 1 species
AGAAUCAACGCUGGCGGCGUGCCUAACACAUGCAAGUCGAACGCGACUGGGGACUUCGGUCCUCGGUUGAGUGGCGAACGGGUGAGUAACACGUGGGUGAUCUACCUUCGAGCGGGGGAUAACGUUCCGAAAGGAACGCUAAUACCGCAUGACGUCCUGGGUUUAAAGACCUGGAGACCAAAGCUAGGGACCGCAAGGCCUGGCACUUGAAGAGGAGCCCGCGUCCGAUUAGCUAGUUGGCGGGGUAACGCCCACAAGGCGACGAUCGGUA